rnacentral:lncRNA from 1 species
CCUGAAUCGAUGUGAGAGAGAAAAACAAGCUUCGAUUCGUGAGAGUAGAGGCCGGAGAAAGAAAGAGAAGCUUCGAUUUGGAGUUAGGGUUCGUGAGAGAGAGGACGAUUGCGAGUGAGAGAGAGGACGGCGCUGGUUCUUGCGAAGGUGAGGACGACGCUGGGUUGCUGCGUUUUGGGUGCGAAUUGAAGGUUGCUGGGUUUUGGUUCUUCGUGAAGGUGAGAGGGUGGGUG